rnacentral:rRNA from 1 species
UUGAUCCUGGCUCAGAAUCAACGCUGGCGGCGUGCCUAACACAUGCAAGUCGAACGCGAAAGUCCCGCAAGGGAUAAGUAGAGUGGCAAACGGGUGAGUUUCGCGUGGGUGACCUACCUCUGAGUGGGGGAUAACAUUCCGAAAGGAGUUCUAAUACCGCAUGGCAUCCUGUCUUUAGACAGAUGGAGAUCAAAGCCGGUGAUCGCAAGACCUGGCGCUUAGAGAAGGGCCCGCGUCCGAUUAGCUAGUUGGUGAGGUAACGGCUCACCAAGGCUCCGAUCGGUAGCCGGCCUGAGAGGUCGGACGGCCACACUGGGACUGAGACACGGCCCAGACUCCUACGGGAGGCUGCAGUGGGGAAUUGUUCGCAAUGGGCGCAAGCCUGACGACGCAACGCCGUGUGGAGGAUGAAGACCUUCGGGUCGUAAACUCCUUUCGACCGAGAUGAAUACCUGCCGACCUAACACGCCGGCAGGCUGACAGUAUCGAGGGAAGAAGCUCCGGCUAACUCUGUGCCAGCAGCCGCGGUAAUAAGGU